rnacentral:rRNA from 1 species
CACGGCCUACGGGACGCAGCAGUGGGGGAUAUUGCACAAUGGGGGAAACCCUGAUGCAGCGACGCCGCGUGGGUGAAGAAGCACCUCGGCGCGUAAAGCCCUGUCAGCAGGGAAGAAAAUGACGGUACCUGAAGAAGAAGCCCCGGCUAACUACGUGCCAGCAGCCGCGGUAAUACGUAGGGGGCAAGCGUUAUCCGGAUUUACUGGGUGUAAAGGGGGCGCAGACGGCGAUGCCAGCCAGGAGUUAAAGCCCGGGGCCCAACCCCGGGACUGCUCUUGGAACUGCGUGGCUAGAGGGC